rnacentral:rRNA from 1 species
ACGGAAGGCAGCAGUGGGGAAUAUUGCACAAUGGGCGAAAGCCUGAUGCAGCGACGCCGCGUGAGCGAAGAAGUAUUUCGGUAUGUAAAGCUCUAUCAGCAGGGAAGAUAAUGACGGUACCUGACUAAGAAGCACCGGCUAAAUACGUGCCAGCAGCCGCGGUAAUACGUAUGGUGCAAGCGUUAUCCGGAUUUACUGGGUGUAAAGGGAGCGCAGGCGGUACGGCAAGUCUGAUGUGAAAGCCCGGGGCUCAACCCCGGUACUGCAUUGGAAACUGUCGAACUAGAGUGUCGGAGGGGUAAGCGGAAUUCCUAGUGUAGCGGUGAAAUGCGUAGAUAUUAGGAGGAACACCAGUGGCGAAGGCGGCUUACUGGACGAUAACUGACGCUGAGGCUCGAAAGCGUGGGGAGCAAACAGGAUUAGAUACCCUGGUA